UGGGGAAUUUUGGACAAUGGGCGAAAGCCUGAUCCAGCAAUGCCGCGUGCAGGAUGAAGGCCUUCGGGUUGUAAACUGCUUUUGUACGGAACGAAAAAGCUUCUCCUAAUACGAGAGGCCCAUGACGGUACCGUAAGAAUAAGCACCGGCUAACUACGUGCCAGCAGCCGCGGUAAUACGUAGGGUGCAAGCGUUAAUCGGAAUUACUGGGCGUAAAGCGUGCGCAGGCGGUUAUGUAAGACAGAUGUGAAAUCCCCGGGCUCAACCUGGGAACUGCAUUUGUGACUGCAUGGCUAGAGUACGGUAGAGGGGGAUGGAAUUCCGCGUGUAGCAGUGAAAUGCGUAGAUAUGCGGAGGAACACCGAUGGCGAAGGCAAUCCCCUGGACCUGUACUGACGCUCAUGCACGAAAGCGUGGGGAGCAAACAGG
rnacentral:rRNA from 1 species